GACGAACGCUGGCGGCGUGCUUAACACAUGCAAGUCGAACGGAAAGGCCCUGCUUUUGUGGGGUGCUCGAGUGGCGAACGGGUGAGUAACACGUGAGUAACCUGCCCUUGACUUUGGGAUAACUUCAGGAAACUGGGGCUAAUACCGGAUAGGAGCUCCUGCUGCAUGGUGGGGGUUGGAAAGUUUCGGCGGUUGGGGAUGGACUCGCGGCUUAUCAGCUUGUUGGUGGGGUAGUGGCUUACCAAGGCUUUGACGGGUAGCCGGCCUGGGAGGGUGACCGGCCUCAAUGGGACUGCGGUACGGCCCAGUCUCCUACGGGCGGCAGAAGUGGGGAAUAUUGCACAAUGGGCCGGAGCCUGAUGCAGCAACGCCGCGUGCGGGAUGACGGCCUUUGGGUUGUAAACCGCUUUCGCCUGUGCCGAAGCGUGCGUGACGGUAAUGGGUAAAGAAGCACCGGCUAACUACGUG
rnacentral:rRNA from 1 species